GAUUGGAUAGUAUAGUGGUGAGUACAAUUCGUUGUGGCCCGGUGCGAACCCACCAAAUCAGCUCCGAAUAGACCCAGGUUCGAUUCCUGGUCCAGUCA
rfam:Rosellinia necatrix DNA, scaffold: Contig103, strain: W97.